rnacentral:misc_RNA from 1 species
UACCUCCUUUCUAAGGAGCACCACGAAAAGCACCCCAACUGGUGGGGUGCGAGCCGUGAGGGGUUCUCGCCUGUAGUGGGCGGGAGCCGGGUGCGCAACAGCAAAUGAUUGCCAGACACACUAUUGGGCCCUGAGACAACACUCGGCUCGUUCUGAGUGGUGUCCCUCCAUCUUGGUGGUGGGGUGUGGUGUUUGAGUAUUGGAUAGUGGUUGCGAGCAUC